GUCCUGCGCGGUUGGUUACCAACGUGCUUGGGUUGGCAUUCCAAAAGAAGUUUCUUUCGGUUGCUCCUGGGAAAACUCAUGUUGCAAUUUCAGAGCGUUGAAGUGUGCUAAUAGUGGAGUCUGUUCCAUGUGCGUGGAAGGGAUGAUUGUGACACAUGGUCCUGUACAA